AGUGAACGCUGGCGGUAGGCCUAACACAUGCAAGUCGAACGGCAGCACAGUAAGAGCUUGCUCUUACGGGUGGCGAGUGGCGGACGGGUGAGGAAUACAUCGGAAUCUACUUUUUCGUGGGGGAUAACGUAGGGAAACUUACGCUAAUACCGCAUACGACCUACGGGUGAAAGCAGGGGAUCUUCGGACCUUGCGCGAUUGAAUGAGCCGAUGUCGGAUUAGCUAGUUGGCGGGGUAAAGGCCCACCAAGGCGACGAUCCGUAGCUGGUCUGAGAGGAUGAGCAGCCACACUGGAACUAAGACACGGUCCAGACUCCUACAGGAGGCGACAGUGGGGAAUAUUGGACAAUGGGCGCAAGCCUGAUCCAGCCAAACCGCGUGGGUGAAGAAGGCCUUCGGGUUGUAAAACCCUUUUUUUGGGAAAGAAAAGCAGCAGGUUAAUCCCCCGCUGUUCUGACGGUACCCAAAGAAUAAGCACCGGCUAACUUCGUG
rnacentral:rRNA from 1 species